rnacentral:rRNA from 1 species
GUAGUCAUAUGCUUGUCUCAAAGAUUAAGCCAUGCAUGUCUAAGUAUAAGCAACUAUACGGUGAAACUGCGAAUGGCUCAUUAAAUCAGUUAUCGUUUAUUUGAUAGUACCUUACUACAUGGAUAACCGUGGUAAUUCUGGAGCUAAUACAUGCUGAAAAUCCCGACUUCGGAAGGGAUGUAUUUAUUAGAUAAAAAACCAAUGCCCUUCGGGGCUCCUUGGUGAAUCAUAAUAACUUAACGAAUCGCAUGGCCUUGCGCCGGCGAUGGUUCAUUCAAAUUUCUGCCCUAUCAACUUUCGAUGGUAGGAUAGUGGCCUACCAUGGUAUCAACGGGUAACGGGGAAU